rnacentral:pre_miRNA from 1 species
GUACUACUCUCUCCGUCCGAAAAUACUUGUCCUAGAAAUGAAUGUAUCUAGACUUAUUUUAGUUAUAGAUACAUUCAUUAUAUUCAUUUUUAGGACAAGUAUUUUCGAAAGGAGGGAGUAUUAC